rnacentral:rRNA from 1 species
UACGAAGGGGGCUAGCGUUGUUCGGAAUUACUGGGCGUAAAGCGCGCGCAGGCGGUCCUUUAAGUCAGGGGUGAAAGCCCAGAGCUCAACUCUGGAACUGCCUUUGAAACUAGAGGACUUGGGUACGGGAGAGGUGAGUGGAAUUCCGAGUGUAGAGGUGAAAUUCGUAGAUAUCAGGAGGAACACCAAUGGCGAAGGCAGCUCGCUGGGACGGUACUGACGCUGAGACGCGAAAGCGUGGGGAGCAAACAGG